rnacentral:rRNA from 2 species
CGGCAACAGCUCAAAUUUGAAAUCUGGCGCAAGCCCGAGUUGUAAUUUGUAGAGGAUGCUUCUAGGCAGCGGCCGUUCUAAGUUCCUUGGAACAGGACGUCAUAGAGGGUGAGAAUCCCGUAUGUGACCGGCACGCACCUUGUACGUAGCUCCUUCGACGAGUCGAGUUGUUUGGGAAUGCAGCUCUAAAUGGGAGGUAAAUUUCUUCUAAAGCUAAAUACCGGCUGGAGACCGAUAGCGCACAAGUAGAGUGAUCGAAAGAUGAAAAGCACUUUGGAAAGAGAGUUAAAAAGCACGUGAAAUUGUUGAAAGGGAAGCGCCUGCAACCAGACUUCGCGGCAGUGUUCCGCCGGUCUUCUGACCGGUCUAUUCUCUGUCGCGAGGCCAUCAUCGUCUGGGGCCGCCGGAUAAGACUGGAGGAAUGUAGCUCCCCUCGGGGAGUGUUAUAGCUUCCAGUGAUGCGGCGUGUCUCGGGCGAGGUCCGCGCUUCGGCAAGGAUGAUGGCGUAAUGGUUGUCGGCGGCCCGUCUUGAAACACGGACCAAGGAGUCUAACAUCUAUGCGAGUGUUCGGGUGUCAAACCCCUACGCGUAAUGAAAGUGAACGGAGGUGGGAACUUUUUGUGCACCAUCGACCGAUCCUGAUGUCCUCGGAUGGAUUUGAGUAAGAGCAUAGCUGUUGGGACCCGAAAGAUGGUGAACUAUGCCUGAAUAGGGUGAAGCCAGAGGAAACUCUGG